rnacentral:lncRNA from 1 species
GUUCGUGGCAUCCGCGCCGCGGCCGCAAGUAUAGCAGGUUUCGUACCUGGUGUUCAUCGCCGUUAAGUCAUCGCUGCUGCCACCCAGGCACGGCUCUCUAUGCCGCCGCUCCCUCCACCCUCUAGGCACUGCCUGCCGUAAGAAUUUUAACUGCGACACUCGCUUCAGCAGGAGAUUUUAUUGGCUGCAGACACACGCAGCAUCUUCUUGCGCUCCUCCUUGAGGUGGAUGGGCAGCUAGCUGGAGAUGACACAGGAUGAUGCGCAUCUUUCGCACGCUGGCUCCAAGAUCUCCGCUGCCAGAUGCAGCAACAAAGCUUCUUUGUACAGACAGCCCUGGACACACUUCCAGCAGCAAUUCUUCUUGCAGGAACUGGUGCAAGAACAGGAUUUAUUCGUGGCACAGGAGCAGUUGGUGUCCACUGGGAGUGGAGGCAGAAGAGAGACCAGAGCGGGUAUGUUAGGAGAGAAAGCAGGU